rnacentral:rRNA from 1 species
GAUGAACGCUGGCGGCGCGCCUUACGCAUGCAAGUCGUACGACGGGCUUCGGCCCGGAGUGGCAGACGGCUGAGUAACGCGUAGGCAACCUGUCCCCAAGUGAGGGAUAACCCAUCGAAAGACGGGCUAAUACCGCAUACGCUCCUGGGGUGAGAUUCCCCAGGAGGAAAGCCGCAAGGCGCUGAGGGAGGGGCCUGCGUCUUAUCAGGUAGUUGGUGAGGUAACGGCUCACCAAGCCGGCGACGAGUAGCUGGUCUGAGAGGACGGCCAGCCAGACGGGGACUGAGACACGGCCCCGACUCCUACGGGAGGCAGCAGCGAGGAAUCUUGGGCAAUGGGCGAAAGCCUGACACAGCGACGCCGCGUGGGGGAAGAAGGCCUUCGGGUCGUAAACCCCUUUUCUCAGGGAAGAAUAAUGACGGUACCUGAGGAAUAAGCCCCGGCUAACUACGUGCCAGCAGCCGCGGUAAUACGUAGGGGGCGAGCGUUAUCCGGAUUUACUGGGCGUAAAGUGGGCGCAGGCGGCCUUUCAAGUCGGAUGUAAAAUCUCCCGGCUUAACUGGGAGGGAUCAUUCGAUACUGUUGGGCUAGAGGACAGCAGAGGGAGGUGGAAUUCCCGGUGGAGUGGUGAAAUGCGUAGAUAUCGGGAGGAACACCAGUGGCGAAGGCGGCCUCCUGGGCUGUUUCUGACGCUGAGGCCCAAAAGCGUGGGGAGCGAACAGGAUCAGAUACCCUGGUAGUCCACGCCCUAAACGAUGGACACUAGGUAUGGGGAGUAUUGACCCUCUCCGUGCCGAAGCUAACGCUUUAAGUGUCCCGCCUGGGGACUACGACCGCAAGGUUA